rnacentral:rRNA from 1 species
ACUGCUCAGUAACACGUAGCUAACCUACCCUUAAGAAUGGGACAACCUCGGGAAACUGAGGCUAAACCCGUAUAUGAGAUUUCUCUGGAAUGAGUUUUCUCUAAAACGCAAGGCUUAAGGAUGGGGCUGCGACUGAUUAGGUUGUUGGCGGAGUAAAAGCCCACCAAGCCGAUGAUCAGUAGGGGCUCUUAGCGGAGUCGCCCCGAGAGGAAAUCUGAGACACUAUUUCCAGCUCUACGGAGUGCAGCAGUCGCGAAUCUUCUGCAAUGCGCGCAAGCGUGACAGAGCGAGCCAAAGUGCUUUCCGCACAGGAAAGCUUUUCUCUGCUGUAAAAAGGCAGAGGAAUAAGGACUGGGCAAGACGAGUGCCAGCCGCCGCGGUAAUACUCGCGGUCCAAGUCGCAGCCAUUUUUAUUGGGUCUAAAACAUCCGUAGCUUGCUUAAUAAGUUCCUUGUGAAAUUCUAUAUCUUAAAUAUGGAGCGCGCGGGGAAUACUGUUGAGCUAGAGACUGGAAGACGUAACGAGUACGUUCUAAGUAAUGGUAAAAUAUGUUAAUCUAGGACGGACUAACAACAGCGAAGGCACGUUACGAGGACAGUUCUGACAGUAAGGGAUGAAGGCCAGGGGCGCAAAACGGAUUAGAUACCCGUGUAGUCCUGGCAGUAAACACUGCACACUAAACAUUAGUAUCUCCUCGAGAGGUAUUGGUGCUGAAGGGAAGCCGAAGAGUGUGCUACCUGGGAAGUAUAGUCGCAAGGCCGAAACUUAAAGGAAUUGGCGGGGGAGCA